rnacentral:rRNA from 1 species
AUUGAACGCUGGCGGCAUGCCUUACACAUGCAAGUCGAACGGCAGCACGGGAGCAAUCCUGGUGGCGAGUGGCGAACGGGUGAGUAAUAUAUCGGAACGUGCCCAGUCGUGGGGGAUAACGUAGCGAAAGCUACGCUAAUACCGCAUACGAUCUAUGGAUGAAAGCGGGGGAUCGCAAGACCUCGCGCGAUUGGAGCGGCCGAUAUCAGAUUAGCUAGUUGGUGGGGUAAAGCCCACCAAGGCGACGAUCUGUAGCUGGUCUGAGAGGACGACCAGCCACACUGGAACUGAGACACGGUCCAGACUCCUACGGGAGGCAGCAGUGGGGAAUAUUGGACAAUGGGGGGCAACCCUGAUCCAGCAAUGCCGCGUGAGUGAUGAAGGCCUUCGGGUUG